rnacentral:rRNA from 1 species
GAGAACGAACGCUAGGCGGCGGUGGGAUUUAGGCUAAUGCAAGUCGAAACGAGAAAAGGGUUCGACGAACGAACCCGGAGUAAAGUGGCGAAAGGGUGAGUAGUACCUAGGUAACCUGCCCUGAACGACGGGGAUAACGUCUCUAACGGGACGACUAAUACCCGAUGUGUCGGCGCGGCCGCAUGGUCGUGCCGGUAAAGGUAGCUCUGUUUACAAGCUUCGCUUCUGGAGGGGCCUCGGGCCUAUCAGUUAGUUGGUGGGGUGAUGGCCUACCAAGGCGACGACGGGUAGCCGGCCUGAGAGGGCGACCGGCCACACUGGGACUGAGACACGGCCCAGACUCCUACGGGAGGCAGCAGUGGGGAAUCUUGCGCAAUGGGCGAAAGCCUGACGCAGCGACGCCGCGUGA